GAAUAAUGAUAAACUUGUUUGUAGAUCAACUUGCUUUUAUUUCAGCACAUUUUAUAUUAAUACAAAUUAACACCGGUGGGACGCUCGGCGCGACCAGAGAGAAGAAAAAAGAAAAAGAUUGACACUAGUGAAGUGCAAAUCAAUUGACGAUCAUAGUGUUGUGCUUUAUGUAUUUCAACACUCCUCCUCAAAUUUAACAAUAACGUCUUAAAUUUGCUACUUGUAAAGCACCACACUAUGUCCCCAAAUACAAAUACAAUAGUUAGACUAUAACAAUUACAGCUUUUACAUAUUUAAAAUUAUUAGUUUACUAUUUAUCUAUGUAUUUAGUAUUCUUUAGUUAUCUAUCCAUACAUUUAUUACAAGUUAACUUAGGUAUUUAUGUAAGUAUUUAUCCUAUUUAUCUUAUAAACCUUUUACUUUAGCUUAUUUACUUAUACAAUACUAAUUUGUUUUACUUUUCAGUAAGUAUAUAAUCUUAAAUCUCACAACAGUCAGCGUUAUUACACCUUUUUAUAUUUACUCAUAUCAUUAAUUACUUUCCUUAAGUUAAAUUAAACAAAAUACAACUCCU